AAGGAUCAUUGCCGAACGGACGCGCGCCGUCUCCGCCCUCCUCGCUUCCGCGAGUGGCGGCCGGCCGCGUCUUAUCGCACACCCAUGUGAACUCGUGAUCGUGACCCUGGACGGCGCGCGCGUUCGCGCGCGCGCGCCGAUCCGGCUCCCUUCCACAAACUUAACCACACUGUAUCCCACUUGUCUGAGACAAAACCAAGGCGGAGGCCGUACGAUUCGUUCGCGCGCGCUCUCUUAGCCGCAAGACAUAACCUAUCACAACUUUUAACAACGGAUAUCUUGGCUCGC
rnacentral:misc_RNA from 1 species